AGCCUGUGGCUUAACAAAAGUCCCCAAGCGGGACUUCUUCGACUUGCCGGCCCUUCAAGGACCGAGCCGCGCAGCUUUGAAGUGCGUGGCUGCCGAGAGGCGACAAUAGCCCGGCUCUCCUCUCUGCCGGGCCUCCUUUCAAAGGAAGGCGCUUAAUUGUGCGGGCUCCUUGUUUGGGGAGGGAGCAGUGGGGAACACCACACAAAGUGGCGGCCAGCCGACCACGGCGACAUCAAAGCUCGUCGGAAUUACUCCGGAACAAGCAACAUGAAAACCCAUUGGCCUUCAGUCAUUCUUACACCUUCUUAUUUACAUCUGGAGCCACACCCCACAAGCCGACAUAUUGGGAUCUAAAGUCACGUGCACAUCAUAGCCUUGUAUUGGAGGCUGAUUAAUUCGGAUUAACUACUUCCAUACUCAUUACUACCUGCAAAUGGAGUAUCAUUUACAAUCGUGCACUGAGAAAUACUUACUCUUCUGCUGCCUUUAUAAUUCCCCUUUGUAGGAGGCCAAAAAAGCAUUGGUAGGAAAUUUGAGGGGUUUAAAUUUCAGUGUAAUCUUGACAAUGUGGCUUUUAGGUUGUCUGAUAAUUUUUAUAACACUUGCUUCCGAAUAAAUCUGGCUGGGAUUGCA